rnacentral:rRNA from 1 species
GACGUAGGGGACGAGCGUUGUCCGGAUUCAUUGGGCGUAAAGCGCGCGUAGGCGGCUCAGCAAGUCGGUCGUGAAAACCCGGGGCUCAACCCCGGGAGGCCGGUCGAUACUGCUGUGGCUAGGGUCCGGUAGAGGAGAGUGGAAUUCCCGGUGUAGCGGUGGAAUGCGCAGAUAUCGGGAGGAACACCAGUAGCGAAGGCGGCUCUCUGGGCCGGUACCGACGCUGAGGAGCGAAAGCUAGGGGAGCGAACAGG